UAGGGAAUCUUCCACAAUGGACGCAAGUCUGAUGGAGCAACGCCGCGUGAGUGAAGAAGGUUUUCGGAUCGUAAAGCUCUGUUGUUGGUGAAGAAGGAUAGAGGCAGUAACUGGUCUUUAUUUGACGGUAAUCAACCAGAAAGUCACGGCUAACUACGUGCCAGCAGCCCGGUAAUACGUAGGUGGCAAGCGUUGUCCGGAUUUAUUGGGCGUAAAGCGAGCGCAGGCGGAAUGAUAAGUCUGAUGUGAAAGCCCACGGCUCAACCGUGGAACUGCAUCGGAAACUGUCAUUCUUGAGUGCAGAAGAGGAGAGUGGAAUUCCAUGUGUAGCGGUGGAAUGCGUAGAUAUAUGGAAGAACACCAGUGGCGAAGGCGGCUCUCUGGUCUGCAACUGACGCUGAGGCUCGAAAGCAUGGGUAGCGAACAGG
rnacentral:rRNA from 1 species